AUAUCAUAAGGGAGCUACCAUUUGAUUUUUAUGGGGGGGGGCUAGGAUGAAAUUUGAAAAAAAUAGGCAGGACAGGAGUUUUGAGUAAAAAAAAAAAGGCAGGAUGAGACACUUGCAAAAACAAAAGUCAGGACGACAAUUUAGGUAAAAAAAAGUCAGGAUAAACUAAAAAAAAAAAGGCAGGACCGAACAGAGUGAAAAAUAAAAAGGCAGGACAGAGAUUAUUAUUAAAAAAAAAUGCAGGACAAAAUUUUUCAUCCUAGCCCCCCCAUAAAAAUCAAAUGGUAGCUCCCUAAGUAAAGAAUUGUCGCCUAAA
rnacentral:lncRNA from 1 species